GUCACGACUCAGCCCACGUAGACGUCCACGGGGAACGUAGCGUUGCAGCCCUCACUGAGGUUUGACGUCAAGAAAGAAACUGUGAGGCCGCUUCCCCAGCUGACCCUAGGCCAGCCUGAGCAAUUUGUCUGGACCACCACAAGCCUGAGAAUAGACAGAACAUCAGCUCCCUGCCAGCACAGCGCAGCAUGGGGCUUCCCUGCAUCGGAAUAGAUGAGCCAGGGUCCAGAGGACUUAUUAACUUUCAAAAAGGAUUUUGGCCUUCUGUUGGAGAGGACCUUGCUUGCAGGCACAUCCCAGGGUAGAUUUUAGCAUCCUACUCAAGUUCUUAUUCAGAAUUACCCCUUGGACUCGACCCAGCCGUGCCUGCAUUUACAGAGCCUCCCCUGCUCCUAGCCCAGACCUCGCUGGGAUUGAGGACGACAAUGUCAUCACCAGUUGUCUGCUUUCCGGAGCCAGCAGCUUGCUCCACCGGGAUCCUGCUAUAUUCAACCCUGCCUGGUAAACUAGUAAACUUCUCACGCCUGGUGUCCGCUAUAGCAGAGAGUGAGGUACCUUAGCACGGGUAUCUUACACGGCCCUCCUCCAGGCAGUGAACUAUGGCUCGGAGCCCUUGUUAGAGACCCAUUGAACAUUUUCAUCCAUCAGGUGUUCACCAGGUACCCAGCCAGUGAGUCCCUUUGCGCCUGCUCUGAGCAGCAGCCUAGUGUUCGGGUGUCCCCAUCAACCCCGGAGGGACUGGGUCUACUACAUCCAGGAAAGCUAAGUGGCCCCGGUUUUAUCUUUCCAAUUCUUUUGAGUAGGAGACAUU